rnacentral:lncRNA from 1 species
GGUUCAGUGUGUGGUCUGCCCCAUAGACUGUGGGGCAGGAGGGUCCAGUGUUGGGCGCAGAUGUGGGCUGACCCAAGGAUGAUGUGGGGACCCAUAGAGUGCCCCAAUAGUAUGUGGGGCAGGAGGGUCAGUGGUGGGGCUGCCCCAUAAUGUGUGGGGCAGAGGGAACUUGGGGGGGGCUUGACCCAUAGAUAGGCCAGGAGGGUCAGUGUGUGGGCUCCCCGUAAGUGUGGCGCCCCAAUAGAUUUGUGUGGGCUGCCCCAUAAUCUUGUGGGGCAGGAGGUCAGUGGUGUGGAGGCUGCCCCAUAGAUGUGUGGGGCUGCCCCAUAGAUGUGUGGGGUGGGAGGGUCAGUGUGUGGGGCUGCCCCAUAGAUGUGUGGGGCUGACCCAUAGAUGUGGGGCAGGAGGGUCAGUGUGUGGGGCUGCCCCAUAGAUGUGUGGGGCUGCCCCAUAGAUAUGGGCCAGGAGGGUCAGUGUGUGGGGCUGCCCCACAGAUAUGUGGGGCAGAGGGAACUUGGGGGGGGCUGCCCCAUAGAUGUGUGGGGCAGAGGGAACUUGGGGGGCUGCCCCAUAGAUACUGGGAGGAGGCAGGUAAGUGACGCUGUGGGGCGGGAGCUUGUGGGGCUGCCCCAUAGAUAUGUGGGGCAGGGGAUAACUUAUGGGGCAGCCCCAUAGAUGUGUGGGGCAGGGGAUAACUUAUGGGGCUGCCCCAUAGAUUCUAUGGGGUGAAUGUGGGGCUCGGUGUUAACGUUCCUCUCUUCUCCUCCUCAAAUGCUGCCCGGAUUUGCAUAAUUAAUCACCUCUUUAUGUUAAUUACUCUUUAUGUUAAUUAUCCUUUAUGUUAAUCCCCCUUAAUGCUAAUUACCUUUUAUGCUAAUUGACUUUAUGCUAAUUACCCUUUUAUGCUAAUUACCCCUUUAUGCUAAUCCCCCUUUAUUCCCCUUUAUGUUACUGUACCUUUAUGUUAAUGACCCUUUAUGCUAAUUACCCCCCUUUAUGCUAAUUACCCUCCCCCUUAUGCUAAUUACCCCUCACUUAUGCUAAUUACCCCCCCUUUAUGCUAAUUACCCUCCCUUUUAUGCUAACUAUCCUCCCAUUUAUGCUAAUUACCCUCCCCUUUAUGCUAAUUGUCCUCUUUCUUAUGCUAAUUACCCCCCUUUAUGCUAAUUACCCCCUUUAUGCUAAUUACCCUCCCUUUUAUGCUAAUUACCCUCCCUUUUAUGCUAAUUACCCUCCCCUUUAUGCUAAUUAUUCUCUCCCUUAUGCUAAUUAACCCUCCCCUAAUUCCUUUAUUCCCUUUAUGCUAAUUACCCUCUAUGCUAAUGACCCUCUAUGCUAAUGACCCUCUAUGCUAAUUACCCUCUAUGCUAAUUACCUUUAUGCUAAUGACCCCUUAUGCUAUCCCCCCCUACGUCAACCCCCCUUUCCAUUAACCCCCCUUUAUGCUAAUUACCUUUAUGCUAAUCACCCCAUAUGCUAAUAACCCCUCACACUAAUUAACCGGGGGUUCUCCCUCUAUGCUAAUUAAUGCUAAUUAACGCUAAUUAACGCUAAUUACCCCCCUAUAGAAGAAGAUAAUGAUCAUCAUCUGUUGCGUGGUGCUGGGGGUUGUCCUGGCCUCCUCCAUUGGGGGAACGUUGGGCUUAUAAAUGGGGGGGGGGCGGGGGGGGACACU